UUUUAUAAACAUAGCAGUUUCAGAGAAACUGCUAUGUUUAUGAAUGGGUUAAGCCUUCCCCCUAAUCCUCUAGUGGCUGUCUCAUUGACAGCCACUAGAGGCGCUUGCGUGCUCCUCACUGUGAUUUUCACAGUGAGAGCACGCAAGCGUCCAUAGGAAAGCAUUGUAAAUGCUUUCCUAUGCGACGGGCUGAAUGCGCGCGCAGCUCUUGCUGCGCGUGCGCAUUCAGCCCAGGAGGAGGA